UACGGAGGGUGCAAGCGUUGUCCGGAUUUAUUGGGUUUAAAGGGUGCGUAGGUGGCGUGUUAAGUCAGUGGUGAAAGCCUGCAGCUCAACUGUAGAGGUGCCAUUGAUACUGACAUGCUUGAGUAUGGACGAGGUAGGCGGAAUUUGUGGUGUAGCGGUGAAAUGCAUAGAUACCACAAAGAACACCGAUAGCGAAGGCAGCUUACUGGACCAUAACUGACACUGAGGCACGAAAGUGUGGGUAGCGAACAGGAUUAGAAACCCGAGUAGUCC
rnacentral:rRNA from 1 species